rnacentral:rRNA from 1 species
UACGUAGGGUGCGAGCGUUAAUCGGAAUUACUGGGCGUAAAGUGUGCGCAGGUGGCCGCGCAAGUCGAGUGUGAAAUCCCCGAGCUUAACUUGGGAAUUGCGCUCGAAACUACGUGGCUCGAGUGUGGCAGAGGAAGGUGGAAUUCCACGUGUAGCGGUGAAAAUGCGUAGAGAUGUGGAGGAACACCGAUGGCGAAGGCAGCCUUCUGGGCCAACACUGACGCUCAUGCACGAAAGCGUGGGGAGCAAACAGG